GACGAACGCUGGCGGCGUGCUUAACACAUGCAAGUCGAGCGGUAAGGCCCUUUCGGGGGUACACGAGCGGCGAACGGGUGAGUAACACGUGGGUGACCUCGCCCUCAGCUCUGGGAUAAGCCGUGGGAAACCGGGUCUAAUACUGGAUAUGACUCCAUGACGCAUGUUGGUGGGGUGGAAAGCCUUGUGCGGCUGAGGAGU
rnacentral:rRNA from 1 species